rnacentral:rRNA from 1 species
AGAAUUUGAUCUUGGUUCAGAUUGAAUGCUGACGGCGUGGAUGAGGCAUGCAAGUCGAACGGAACGAUCUAGAGCUUGCUCUAGUUAGUUUAGUGGCGGAAGGGUUAGUAAUACAUGGAUAACCUGCCCUUUACUUGGGGAUAACAGUUGGAAACGGCUGCUAAUACCGAAUGUGGUGUUCUUAAGGCAUCUUAAGAGCAUUAAAGUGGGGGAUCUUCGGACCUCGCGGUAAAGGAAGGGUCCAUGCGAUAUCAGCUUGUUGGUGAGGUAAGAGCUCACCAAGGCUAAGACGUCUAGGCGGGUUGAGAGAUCGACCGCCAACACUGGGACUGAGAUACUGCCCAGACUCCUACGGGAGGCUGCAGUCGAGAAUCAUUCACAAUGGGCGAAAGCCUGAUGAUGCGACGCCGUGUGAGCGAUGAAGGCCUUAGGGUUGUAAAGCUCUUUCGCUUGGGAACAAGGGACCUGGGUUAAUACCCCGGGAACUUGAGCGUACCAAGUAAAGAAGCACCGGCUAACUCCGUGCCAGCAGCUGCGGUAAUACGGAGGGUGCGAGCAUUAAUCGGAUUUAUUGGGCGUAAAGGGCGCGUAGGUGGGGUAGACAGUCAGAUGUGAAAGCCCGGAGCUCAACUCCGGAACUGCAUUUGAAACUACUACUCUUGAGGGUAGGCGGAGAAGACGGAAUUCCACGUGUAGCGGUGAAAUGCGUAGAUAUGUGGAAGAACACCGGUGGCGAAGGCGGUCUUCUAGCUUAUUCCUGACACUGAGGCGCGAAAGCAAGGGGAGCAAACAGGAUUAGAUACCCUGGUAGUCCUUGCCGUAAACGAUGCAUACUUGGUGUAGCAGGAAUCAACCCCUGCUUUGCCGGAGCUAACGCGUUAAGUAUGCCGCCUGGGGAGUACGCUCGCAAGGGUGAAACUCAAAAGAAUUGACGGGGACCCGCACAAGCAGUGGAGCAUGUGGUUUAAUUCGAUGCAACGCGAAGAACCUUACCCAGACUUGACAUAUACUUGACCGCCGCAGAGAUGCGGUUUCUCCAUGAGCAAGUAUACAGGUGCUGCAUGGCUGUCGUCAGCUCGUGCCGUGAGGUGUUGGGUUAAGUCCCGCAACGAGCGCAACCCUUAUCGUUAGUUGCCAACAGGUAAUGCUGGGAACUCUGACGAGACUGCCUAGGUUAACUAGGAGGAAGGUGAGGAUGACGUCAAGUCAGCAUGGCCCUUACGUCUGGGGCUACACACGUGCUACAAUGGCCGGUACAGAAGGAAGCAAAAUCGCGAGAUCAAGCAAAUCCAGAAAGCCGGUCCCAGUUCGGAUUGGAGUCUGCAACUCGACUCCAUGAAGUUGGAAUUGCUAGUAAUGGCGAGUCAGCUACAUCGCCGUGAAUACGUUCCCGGGUCUUGUACACACCGCCCGUCACAUCAUGGGAGUUGGUCCCACCCGAAGUCACUGACUCAACCGUAAGGGGAGAGGUGCCGAAGGUGAGGCCGAUAACUGGGAUGAAGUCGGAACAAGGUA